AUGCAUAGGUAGCUCUUUACUGCAUAUAAGCAAGGCAAGUUGCGGUGUCAGGUGAGCACGUUUCUAAUGGGACUACCCCCCGUGCUGCCCAGCGCUGAAGAAACAUACCUACGUUACAAUCUUACUGAUUGUGGAGUCAGUUUUGUUCAAGUCAAGGGCAGGGCCAGGAGGCUCCCUGCCUGCCUCCGGCUGCCGGGGCGCCGCGCUCCUCCGCUGCCCGCCGAGCUGCCCCGCGCCCCGCCCCGCGGCCGCCUCCUCGUCCGCCGAAGGGGCCGCGGCCCCGCGGGGGGCGGUGUGGGCCGGGCGUGGGCGGGCGGAGCGGUGGGCGCUGCCCCGGCGAGGGCCCGACUUGUGGUGCGGGCAGGAGCGGCCCGAGCUUGGCCCCGCUCUGCUGCUGUCCGCCUCCCGCCGGGCGCGGCAGGGCCCGAUGGCGGGCGGGCUGGGGCCGCGGCUGCUGGCCUUGGCCUUGGCCUUGGGGCCGGCAGGCGUUUGUUCUGAAUUAAAGCUGGUGGAGUCUGGUGGAGGUCUGCGAGCACCUGGAGACUCCGUGCAGCUCUCCUGCCAGGGAUCCGGAUUCAGCUUUCAAGAUUAUGCUAUCUUGUGGUACCGUCAGGCACCCGGUGGAAGUCUCGAGUGGGUGUCCUUCAUUUACUAUGAUGCAGAAUAUGGCAAAGCAGUGGAGGGCCGAGCCAGUGUCUCCCGGGACAAUUCCCAGUCCAAGUCUUCUCUGUCCCUGAGCUCCCUGGUACCCCAGGACUCAGCCCACUACUUCUGUGCAGUUCGCACAGGGACAGGAAAUCCAGCUGAGCUUUAACACAAACCUAGUGACAGGGCUCCUCACUUCUCCUACAUAUAUUGCUGCCACAGAGGCUACAUAUAUUGCAGCCUCUUGCUGCUGGAGGAUCCACUCCUUCCCACCCCGCUUUCUGCCCUAUGCUCACCUCCUCAUCCACCAAGGAGUCUGCAGGGCAGUGGGAAGCAGGAUGGACACUAAGUGCAUGUUAUUUUUAUUCUAUCCGUAUCAGGAUUUGGUAGGUGAGCUCGAUGGUUGGACUUGAUGAUCUUACAGCCUUAAUGAUUCUAUGGUUCUGUGAUUUCCGUGCAUGUCACCAGCUGGGGAUGCAGGCUGAUUGUGAAUGACUACAGCAUCUCAUGAUACCAGCAGGCACACAGAUCCACAUUCCUCUUGGUCUCUGUCUAGAGCAAAAAUCCCUUUUCCUACACCUUAUGGAAGGCUGCCAUGUGUGGGUGUGCAGCCCACCACCUCCUGGGACAGUUUCGAGGUGUUGAAAUGUAUUGUCCUGCAUGCCCUGCAUGCCCGGGACUGCACUUGCUGCUUUUGUGCUGCCUCUGUGGGGAUAGAAAGCUGAAGUGUUCCCUUACAUGAACCUCCUACUGGGGCUUCUUACCCUCUCCAU